AUAUAUAAAUGCUCAUUUAAGCAGCAUAUAUACUAAUAUUGGAAUGAUAUAGAAAGGAUUAGCAUGGCCCCUGUGUGGUAAGAUAAGAAAAUUCAUUAAGCAUUCUCUACUUU
ensembl:snRNA Gm23350 U6 spliceosomal RNA